AACCGCCUUUCUCAAGAGCAAGGUACAGUGUGUCUAAUUAGACACACUGUACCUUGCUCUUGAGAAAGGCGGUUUACC